AUUAUUACAAUCACGCCAUAUUUAAUCACUCACUGUGAGGUUUUCUUCUCUUGAUUUUCCAGCUUCCUUUUCCUCAGUUGUUCACGAUCCCGCAAACGAUACGGAAGAAUUCCUGGUGGGAAACAACAAACUGUUCAGAUAACAAGAUAGUCAGCAUUCUUCACAAAGUGGAAGCUAUUGUGAAUGACCUGCUUGUCUAUGAACAUUGAAAUGGAAUGCAAGAAGCCAUUACUGAUCCCAAUCAGAAUCAAGUAUGAAUGCCACAGAAAGCUCACCAGCUGAACACAAGAAAAGGUGCCAUUCAAAAUACCCACAGUCAAGGAUAAACCAUAGGAUGCUGAAUGCUGGCUCUGAUCAGAAGCUUGACAUUAAUUGCAGAUAUGAAGCAGUCCACCAUUUAAACUGACACUUCCAACCAAAGAAACGAUAUAACAAACAGAAGUUGCAUUCAUAUUGUACCUUUAAUUUAGAAAAGCCUCUAAACUUGACAAAAGAGCAUUGUCAGACCAACAGUGACAUAAGAAGAUGCAUUCAGGAAACUCGAUUUUGUAUGUCAAAGUUGAAUUUUCUGAACUGUUUCAGAAAGCCUUCUGCAUGUGUAUGUGUCAAAGGUAGAUAGUGUUCCUGCUGCUCAGUCAAAAGGUUAGAUAUCAAAUCCUCCUGCAAAUCUAACACUCCUGCAUAGAAUUACAGUGUACUGCAUCGUUGGAUAUGUCAUUUUUUUGAAAUAGAUAUUUAGCCUAAAUUUCAUCCAACCUUGUGGGUGGAUGUACUGUAGAUUACAGCUCUUUGUCAAUAACAGAUGACUGUAAUCGAUAAAUAGCAGGAAGCGUUCUUAUUUGACCUUCAAUCAACACCACAAAACAGUAUUUCUGAAAAAAAAUGUAUUUUGAUAAAACUUUUCUUUCAGGACAAUUCACAAAACAAUACAAACAUAAAGGGAAAAAUAACAGUUUAUACCAUAUGAAAAGAGGGAAUCUGCUUGCCAACUAAUUGAAAACCUCAGCACAACUUGCAUGUGCACUUAGCCAAAAAAAUGUAAUAUUCAGCCCUGCUCCUUAUUCAAUUGGCUGAAAAGUGUUUUUGACAUCUUUAGGUUGUGAGAGGGUGAUUUAUAAAUACCAGCCUCACUUACUUUCAAAAUACUUUCAACCCUGUGGAAAAGCAAGGAAAUCAAACAAACCAAUCUGAAUUUAUCACAACUUUCUUCAUGUUGGUAGGAUUUGAAGGUUCUGGUAAGUGAGUCAAUAUUUUUGAUAUUGGUCGACCCAGUGAACUUUGCCAACUCUUUCUGCUUUGCUUUGAAGUGUGACACUACUCCCUGGACUUUCAAUAUUUAUCACCUUUCACUUUCUCUUUAAUCUUCCUUCCAACCCCACUGCUUUGAAACAUCCACACAGAUUUUGUUUCUUUAGUUUGAUUUCUUUUGUUAAUAUUUCCAUUAUCUAACUGAAAUGAUCCAAUUAUUUUACCAAUAGCCACAUUCAUUGUUGUUCAGCUGUUUGUAUUUUAUUUUCCCUUCCUUUUUUUGAUUCUAAAACUAAAUGUGUCAGUCUCCUUAAUUUUCAUUUUGAAUAAAUGUACAAGCCUAAAACUUUGCAACAGGACAAAUAAUGUUGAGUGCAGAUGCCAGCUGCAUGUCUGACAUUUCCUGCUUUUGUUGACAAAGGUUAUGCCUGAGCUGGAUAACACCCAGUGGAAAACAUCAAGCACACUGUACAGUUUUGGCGCUAAUUCAUUGAGGCACUAUGCAGUCCAAGACCAGAGUUAUCUAAAAGGAACAUUCUGUAAGCACUCAAUAAACAUUGCUGUUUGACA